rnacentral:rRNA from 1 species
UCUGCAAUGGGCGCAAGCCUGACAGAGCAAUACCGCGUGAGGGAAGAAGCCACAGGGUUGUAAACCUCUUUUAUCAAGGAAGAAGUUCUGACGUUACUUGAUGAAUAAGCAUCGGCUAACUCCGUGCCAGCAGCCGCGGUAAGACGGGGGAUGCAAGUGUUAUCCGGAAUCACUGGGCGUAAAGCGUUUGUAGGUGGUUUAGUAAGUCUAUUGUUAAAGCUUGAAGCUUAACUUCAAAAAUGUAAUAGAAACUACUAGACUUGAGGAUAGUAGGGGUAAAGGGAAUUUCCAGUGGA